UGGGGAAUAUUGGACAAUGGGCGGAAGCCUGAUCCAGCCAUGCCGCGUGUGUGAAGAAGGCCUUUUGGUUGUAAAGCACUUUAAGCGAGGAGGAGGCUACUUGGAUUAAUACUCUAGGAUAGUGGACGUUACUCGCAGAAUAAGCACCGGCUAACUCUGUGCCAGCAGCCGCGGUAAUACAGAGGGUGCGAGCGUUAAUCGGAUUUACUGGGCGUAAAGCGUGCGUAGGCGGCUUCUUAAGUCGGAUGUGAAAUCCCUGAGCUUAACUUUGGAAUUGCAUUCGGUACUUGGGAGCUUGAGUAAGGGGGAGGGUGGGAGAAUUCCAGGUUUAGCGGUGAAAUGCGUAGAGAUCUGGAGGAAUACCGAUGGCGAAGGCAGCCAUCUGGCCUAAUACUGACGCUGAGGUACGAAAGCAUGGGGAGCAAACAGG
rnacentral:rRNA from 1 species